UACGUAGGGGGCAAGCGUUGUCCGGAUUUAUUGGGCGUAAAGAGCUCGUAGGCGGUUUGGUAAGUCGGGUGUGAAAUCUCCACGCUCAACGUGGAGGGGCCACUCGAUACUGCCAUGACUCGAGUCCGGUAGAGGAGUGUGGAAUUCCCGGUGUAGCGGUGAAAUGCGCAGAUAUCGGGAGGAACACCCGUAGCGAAGGCGGCACUCUGGGCCGGUACUGACGCUCAUGAGCGAAAGCGUGGGGAGCGAUCCGG
rnacentral:rRNA from 1 species